GGGGAUGAUGUAACAUCUAAACUCUCUUCUAUUUGAAUUGAUUAUUAUUGAUAUAUGUUUUACUUCAUUAAUCGUUAGGGUGUUUCCUCUAUACUCUAUGCUUGCAUUGUUUAACUCAUUCAAUUGCAUGAUUAUUGAUUUUAUCUAUAUGGGCACAUAUGGGUAGGUCUAGAAUUGGGGAAAUUCUCCCAAAGGUAGUAUUUCCUAGACAUAGGAAUAUGAGGGUUGGUUGCAUA
rnacentral:lncRNA from 1 species